UCCCGGAUGUUAGCGGCGGACGGGUGAGUAACACGUGGGUAACCUGCCUGUAAGACUGGGAUAACUCCGGGAAACCGGAGCUAAUACCGGAUAGUUCCUUGAACCGCAUGGUUCAAGGAUGAAAGACGGUUUCGGCUGUCACUUACAGAUGGCGGACCCGCGGCGCAUUAGCUAGUUGGUGAGGUAACGAACCGCUCACCAAGGCGACGAUGCGUAGCCGACCUGAGAGGGUGAUCGGCCACACUGGGACUGAGACACGGCCCACAGACUCCUACGGGAGGCAGCAGUAGGGAAUCUUCCGCAAUGGACGAAAGUCGUCUGAUGUGAAAGCCCCCCACGGCUCCAAAACCGGGGACCAGGGUCAUUGGAAACUGGGAAACUUGAGUGCAGAAGGGAGAGUGGAAUUCCACGUGUAGCGGUGAAAUGCGUAGAGAUGUGGAGGAACACCAGUGGCGAAGGCGACUCUCUGGUCUGUAACUGACGCUGAGGAGCGAAAGCGUGGGGAGCGAACACAGGAUUAGAUACCCUGGUAGUCCACGCCGUAAACGAUGAGUGCUAAGUGUUAGGGGGUUUCCGCCCCUUAGUGCUGCAGCUAACGCAUUAAGCACUCCGCCUGGGGAGUACCACGGUCGCAAGACUGAAACUCAAAGACCGAAUUGACGGGGGCCCGCACAAGCGGUGGAGCAUGUGGUUUAAUUCGAAGCCACAACGCGAAGAACCUUACCAGGUCUUGACAUCCUCACUGACAACCCUAGAGAUAGGGCUUUCCCAACUUCGGGGACAGAGUGACAGGUGGUGCAUGGUUGUCGUCAGCUCGUGUCGUGAGAUGUUGGGUUAAGUCCCGCAACGAGCGCAACCCUUGAUCUUAGUUGCCACACGCAUUCAGUUGGGCACUCUAAGGUGACUGCCGGUGACAAACCGACCACACGAGGAAGGUGGGGAUGACGUCAAAUCAUCAUGCCCCUUAUGACCUGGGCUACACACGUGCUACAAUGGACAGAACAAAGGGCUGCGAGACCGCAAGGUUUAGCCAAUCCCACAAAUCUGUUC
rnacentral:rRNA from 1 species